rnacentral:lncRNA from 1 species
CCCCCCCCCCCCCCCCCCCCCCCCCCCCCCCCCCCCCGGGGCAGCCGCUGCCGGGCCCCGAGGGCUGGGCGGCUGCAGGUGGGCCUGGGAGGGAUGGGCACUAGGGGUUUGCUCGUCCUUGAAGGUGCCUUCCUGCCCCUCUCCUCACGCCUACAUCUCCGGAGGCUGGGGACAAUCCCUAGAGAGGGACACAAGUCUGCUGUCCUUGCCAGCGGUGACACCUGAGCAGAGCCUUUGCCUCGGGAAGCGGGCGCCACGUUCUGCAGAACAGACUGAAUCCUCACAAAGGAGAAAGUUCAUUUAAAGAAAGUAUUUCUUUUUUGAAGCCGAUGCUCCGACUUUUGUUAAGUGUAGUUCAACUUCACAUCCUGAUUUUCCUCCAGGACCCAGGCAGGAAAUUCAAAAGGAAGCCAUACUCUGGAUUUAAAGGAAGGGUGCCAGCUGCAAAGUGUGAGAUUCAGUCUUCUUCCCCAGUGAUCUCCACUGGGACAGCAG